rnacentral:rRNA from 1 species
AUUGAACGCUGGCGGCAUGCUUUACACAUGCAAGUCGGACGGCAGCACAGAGAAGCUUGCUUCUUGGGUGGCGAGUGGCGAACGGGUGAGUAACAUAUCGGAACGUACCGGGCAGUGGGGGAUAACUAAUCGAAAGAUUAGCUAAUACCGCAUAUCUUCUGAGGAAGAAAGCAGGGGACCAUUUGGCCUUGCGCUGUUUGAGCGGCCGAUAUCUGAUUAGCUAGUUGGUGGGGUAAAGGCCUACCAAGGCGACGAUCAGUAGCGGGUCUGAGAGGAUGAUCCGCCACACUGGGACUGAGACACGGCCCAGACUCCUACGGGAGGCAGCAGUGGGGAAUUUUGGGACAAUGGGCGCAAGCCCUGAUCCCAGCCCAUGCCGCGUGUUCUGAAAGAAAGGGCCCUUUCGGGGUUGUAAAGGAACUUUUGUUC